rnacentral:rRNA from 1 species
UUGACCUCGAAUCAGGUGGGACUACCCGCUGAACUUAAGCAUAUCAAUAAGCGGAGGAAAAGAAACUAACAAGGAUUCCCCUAGUAACGGCGAGUGAAGCGGGAAGAGCUCAAAUUUAAAAUCUGGCAAUCUUUGGUUGUCCGAAUUGUAAUCUA